AAGCCCAGGAUGGAUAGCGCC
rnacentral:miRNA from 2 species